UUUAAUUCUUACGCUCGUUAGCUCCUAAAUAUUUAAUCUCACGAAACGUGAGCUUAAACGCAGCAAAAAAUAUAACAACCAGAUAACUUUAAGAUAGUGAAAAUGUGAUUAACCCGUAAUUAAUUAACAUGUCGAUUGUAAUAUCGAUAUUAUGCAAAAUCGGCAUUUCUUUGCGCUACUGAUACAAUUAUAAUGUAAAUUUGAUGCCUCAGCAGUGAAUCAAGUUACCCCCGCGAAAGAAAUAUCUUCCACAAAAUUCAUUCUAUCAUAUUACAAUGAUUAAUUUGUGGGAGAUACUGAAAUUGAAUUGUUUUAAUAUGAAGUCAACGAACUCCGCGGUUGUAUAAUAAUACUCGUAGUCUCAUUGAAUAGCUAAAAAUGAAUAUAGUAAAAGUACACUCUCUCUCUCUAUUUAUAUUGCACGCAGAUGAUCUGUCGAUAUUCAACUUUUGCGCCUUCAGGCGAUAUCCCUAAUACACCUAAUACAGUUAGUGAUUUUUAUUCGAUCGGUAUGCAGAUUUCGAGAAUUCGCCAAGUCUUUUAUUUCUCGUACAGUUUUUUCUUCUAUGCAUAAUCAGCCUGAGAGUCGUUUAAGUUUGGUGAUUCGUAACCAUUCGCAAGUUCAAGGCUGCCAUAACGUACAGCAAAUGAAAUACAAUUUCCGAAAACUUAGGGAUGACUGAGUAUUUGAAUCGGUAACAAUUUUUGCUAACAUUUCUAAACUCAAAACUUAGCUAAAUUCGCGUAGACUUGCUAAAAGGUUGUGAUAGUACAAGGACUCUUGCAUUCAGAUAUGUUAGCUUCUAACUAUGGUAUGAAAGAGCGUCGCUUAAACAUUGAAUAAUCUGAGGUAGAUGUGAGACCAGCAGCACGUGUGAAUUCGCCGAAGAUCAAUUAAUUUUCCUACAUACAUUUGAAUGUCAUAAAUAAAAAAAAAUCGGUUUAAAAAAUCCGAUGCGAUCAUCUACGAAAUUCGUUACUCACAUAAUCGUACGGUGAAAACGCCGUACAAAAUCUCGUGGAAUUGAAAUUAUAGCAAGUGAAAGUCAAAGGUCUGUUUGAACCAGCAACCAGUCACGAUCGUGUGAUUUAUUUGAAAAAUGUUAUCCAACCGGUGUUCAUCUCAAACGAGAAACUGAUCAUAAGGUAGGUAUAUGCAAAAGGUAGGUAGGUAUGAACCAUACAACUAAUUCAGCCUGUUCAAUUCUCACAAAUUUUUCAUCCACUUUCUGUCCAAGGGAAGAAAUAAAUCCAUAUCCAAACGUCGAGUCAGAAUCGGUAACUUCAUGGGGACUGGGAAGCUUCUGAUUAUUAAAAGAAAAAAGUUCAAAUUAUACAGACGUAAUACGAGGAUACUUCAUAACUGACAAAGACCAAAUAGAGUUUACGCAGUAAUUUAGUUCAACUUCUACGUAUGUACAGAUGUUGAUAUAGCCUCCGUUCUCACAGGCAUAAAUAAUCUUUUUUCAUUACUUUUUUUACUUAUUCUUUUCUGCUCGAGGCGUAAAUUGUUGGUAUUCUGACUUGCACCUGACAGGGUGUUUUUCAAACCUGUUUUAUUUACUUGACAACCAAAAAGAGUGACUUGGAAUUUUCAAGGAUUUUUCCGAUACGUCGCUCCUGAUUUACGGUGCACGUUUAUCAGAUUAAUCGUAUCAUCGAUCAUUGAGCGAGGUGCUAAAUAAUUUCCACUACAAAUAUCCGGUCUCGGAGGACGUAUGUAUACUUCAUACAAUUCGACUACGAGGAGAUAAUUCUGUAAAGUGUAACAACGAAACAUCUCUAUACUUAGUUCGGUACAAAUAACAUUUUCAAUUCAAUUUUUCUUAAUUGAACGAAGUCUUUCAUUUUUUCUGCAAGUUUUUAUGUUUCUCUUCGAUAACCCUAUAAAUUUGAGAGAAUGUUUUCAACUCGAACAUCUCUACACGCAUAGCCGGAUGACUGGAAGCCUCCGUGUAGUAAUUUUCGUAAACGCGAGAUACAAGCAAACGCGUCACAUCGUUUGUGAUUAAUAAUUAUCAAAAACAUUAUACACGAAGCUAUCUAUUAAACGUGUAUGUUAAUAUAUAACCGACAACUUUUUACAGGACUUACGUAAAAUGCGUGGUAUAAAUGUAUUAAUUCUUUAUUAAAGGCGUAUGAAAUUUUCGCAUCUGCAAUAUCAUCGGGAAUUUCAAUUUCGAUAUCGCAAACCUUGAGUUAUUUUUUUGGCAUUGAGAAUUACAGUUAUAUCUCAAUAUAAAAUGUCGAUAAAACAUCAUUUAUCGCAUCCAAUCGGUGCGAGCAAUGUGAUCCGUAGCAGCUCAACUGCAUACGUCGAAAGGUCACGAGAUGCUGUAAAGAUUUCGGUGGAAUCAUCUCUUUCUGACCGUGACCGUUCUCGCCAGAAUCACAAUGAUGGAAACUUGACAACAUCUAACUAUGGAGAUCUUAUACAGAGAUUACGAGCCACAUUUUAUACCGGAAAAACUCGCCCGUUGGAGUGGAGGAAGACACAAUUGAAGGCGCUUUUAAAAAUGAUAGAUGAAAAUUUGUCAGAACUUCAUGCUGCACUUACAGCCGACUUGGGACGAGUGUGCAAAGCUGUUUAUAGUCGCAUAAUAAUUUUACGUAUUAUAUAUUCACACUGUUCUUUCGUAAAAGAUAAAAAAAAACAAACUUUAUUUCAGUGCAAAAAUGAAAAUAACAUCUUGGAGUUCACGUUCAUAAAUAAUGCGACUUCAGAAAUGCUCGCUCACUUAGCAGAAUGGUCAGCCCCUGAAAUGGCACCCAGAAGUCUCGCGACCAUGUUUGACUCGCUGAAAAUUUUCAACGAUCCCUACGGUGUUGUGCUUGUAAUGGGAACGUGGAAUUUCCCCCUUCAGCUUUCGCUGAUUCCGAUGAUGGGCGCACUGGCUGCCGGAAACUGCGUUGUUCUCAAACCUUCGGAAGUGGCCCAGGCAACUGCGAAAAUUAUAGCUCAAUUGGUACCGAAAUACAUUGACAAUGAAUGCUGUAAAGUGCUUUUGGGAGGGAUUCCCGAAACAACAGAGCUGUUGAAGCAAAGAUUUGAUUAUAUUUUUUACACCGGCUCGACACCGGUUGGUAAAAUAAUUCGCGAAGCUUCGAACAAAUUUUUAACUCCGGUGACCCUUGAACUUGGUGGAAAAAGUCCGGUUUACAUAGACAGCUCUGCCGACAUUUCGAUAACUGCCAGAAGAGUUUUAUGGGGUAAAAUGCUGAACGCUGGACAGACUUGUAUCGCUCCAGAUUACAUCUUGUGCACCAUUGAGGUCCAGGAGUUAAUUUUAAAUGAGAUUAGAAAAGUUAUCAAGGAAUGGUACGGCGAUGAUCCAAAAAUUAGUCCAUACAUCGCUCGCAUCAUCACCGAUCGUCACUUUCAACGGUUGGUUGGCUUUCUUUCUGGAAAUGGUGAAAUAGCCAUUGGGGGCGAAUCGGAUGCUUCGGAAAGAUAUAUCGCACCAACUGUACUGAUUAAUGUGAAACCUACGGAUCCGGUUAUGUGCGAUGAAAUAUUUGGGCCGAUUUUGCCAGUAGUCACCAUAUCCAACGUUCACAAGGCCGUAGAAUUUAUUAAUAGUCGGGAAAAGCCACUCGCGUUCUACAUAUUUAGCAAGAUAAAAGAUGACGUGGAUUUCAUUUUGGAGAACACAAGUUCCGGUGGCGUCUGCGUUAACGAAGCAGUUUUACAGGUUGCAGUUGAAACGCUCCCAUUUGGCGGAGUAGGUGCAUCUGGCAUGGGGUCUUAUCACGGAAAGUACACUUUUGAUGCAUUCGUGCAUAAGAAAAGUGCGAUCAUAAAAUCGUUCAAUGGAAUGAUAGAAGCAGUCGGUUCAGUUCGAUACCCUCCGAAUACGGAUUUGAAAACUAGAUUAUUGUUAAUGUCGCUGAGGGGGCUACCAGAAAUUCCAGCUUCAAAAUAUCUGCCCUACGUUCUGGUGUUUGUGCUUGGAUUUUUUUCUUCAAUUGGAUUUCAAGAGGCACUGAAGAACUAUGCUAAUGGUGAAGACUGAUUUUCAAUGAAAACAAUAUAAUCAACAAUGGAACGUUAAUUAACCUUUGCAACUUAUUAAUUUCAAUUUAACGUGUUUAUCGUUGGAUUGCACGCAAUUAAAAUUCUUGACCUGUAAAUAUAUGUUAUUAUUUUAUUGACUCACGAACGUGAUACCGCAUUAGAGCACUACAAUAUUUCGUAUAAAAGAAAAAUGAAUUAAAAAAUACAUGGUCAUCAAUCACGUGCAAGAAAAAAUAUCGCGUUCAUCGAUAGCUGCUCACGUAAGAAAGUGCGAGUCAUAUUUAUUCAUACGUAUAAUUCAUAAAUGAAAGCCCGAAAAAACGAUCAUAGCAGCAUAGCAGUACCAACGCGACCAUAACGCCCUGUGUAGUAUGGGUGACUGAAUCCUUAUUGAAUUUACAAUUAACUGUAAUAAACGGACCAGCUUCCGAUUGUCGUCCACAACAAAUUUUUUUCGAAAUAUUCGUCGAGCGAACGUAAUAUGGUGAAGAAAUAAGUAGGUGAAGCUGCAAAAAUAAAUGAUCAGUGAUGGCCUAUUGUGAUAAUUGUUACAGAUUUGAAUAUCGUAGAAAGAACUAUGUGUUUUUAUAAUUAUUUGGACCUGACUCGUAAAUUAAUCUCUGUUUAUGGUAUCCAGUUACGACAACGUUCAAAGACCGAUACGGUAAUCUGGAACUACUAUAGAUCAAAAGCGAUAAAAUGUUUCGACCAAUUCACACUGAAUCAGGUGCAUGUUAAAAACAACAUUUCACUUUUCAACAAACGUUUGGAUAAUAACAUCCUCUUGUAACUGCAUACUUAACAAGGCGGCAUUAUUUUUGUCCUGUUAUUGGUCUUCGUUUUUAUGCAAGUGAUUCCAAUACCAUUAUCAGAAGAUAUCUUGGAUCGUGGAUCCAAAGUGCAAGUGCCACGCACGAAAGGUCGGCUGGUUCGUGAGAAAUAGUCGAAACCUGAAAUGUUUUUGCUUCAAAAAUUUCUGGCAAAUAGCAUACAAAGGAUCAAGUGGAAUAUGAUUGAAUUCACGUAUAUCGCAACAUGGAAUAUUAUUACAAUAUAAUUAUCUACCGCACGUAGCUUCUGAUUACUUUAUGUGAACUGGACUUUGAAAGAGAGGGGGAAAUCGGGUCCCAUCAUCUCGCUGUUACACAGCACACAACAGUGACAAACGUCAAGCAGGGCGAGUACCGCGUUUGACAAUUCACAUACUCGCGUGUUGUUACUG
rnacentral:misc_RNA from 1 species